UCCUUUGUGGCUUAGCUGGUAAAGAAUCUGUCUGUUGUGCAGAAGACCUGGGUUCAAUCCCUGGGUUGGGAA
rnacentral:tRNA from 1 species